CAUAGCAUACCAUUUAUCGGGCUCGGCGCAGGCCCGCGGGGAGCGCAGCCCGGUGGAGAGACUGAUGGAGAGGCAGAAACGGAAGGCGGACAUCGAGAAAGGGCUGCAGUUCAUUCAGUCGACACUACCCCUAAAGCAAGAAGAAUAUGAGGCCUUUCUGCUCAAGCUGGUGCAGAAUCUGUUUGCUGAGGGCAAUGAUCUGUUCCGGGAGAAGGACUAUAAGCAGGCUCUGGUGCAGUACAUGGAAGGGUUGAACGUGGCCGACUACGCUGCCUCCGACCAGGUGGCCCUGCCCCGGGAGCUGCUGUGCAAGCUGCAUGUCAAUAGGGCCGCCUGCUACUUCACCAUGGGCCUGUAUGAGAAGGCGCUGGAGGACAGCGAGAAGGCGCUGGGCCUGGACAAUGAGAGUAUCCGGGCAUUGUUCCGCAAGGCACGCGCUCUCAAUGAACUGGGACGCCACAAGGAGGCCUACGAGUGCAGCAGCCGGUGUUCCCUCGCCCUGCCCCACGAUGAAAGCGUGACUCAGCUUGGUCAGGAGCUGGCCCAAAAACUGGGGCUGCGAGUUCGCAAGGCAUAUAAGAGGCCCCAGGAAUUGGAAACCUUUUCUCUGCUCAGUAACGGCACUGCGGCUGGCGUGGCAGAUCAGGUAGGAUCGGGGCUGAACCAGCCUGUCUCGGUUUAUCCAUUAUGAGAGGUUUGGAUUCACUCCCUCUGGUGUAAAUGACCUCAGGCAGUGGGUCCAGGGACCUCCGCCUCCCCAGGAGGUACCUCCCAUGACCACGGGGGCAGGAUGUGGGGACAGGCCAUGGCUGCUGUUGGCAGGGAGUGGUCAUUGCCAGGGAGCCGCUGGGGGCAGCCUCACUCAUGGACCCUGGCCAGGACACAGUCUGGGCAGCCUGGUCCCACACGCCUUCCUUCUGCUUCCCGCCCCACAUUUCCUGCUGUGUUGCCUUUUUUCUCACCAGCCUUUCUGCAGGUUCAGGCCCCUGGGCCUCAAAUGUCUUCCUCUUCCCCACCCUGCCUUUCUCUGUCUCUUUGCUUUUCAAAGCCCAGCUCAAGGGCAUGCCCCUACUGAAACCCAUCCUGCUCUCCCUGGCUCAGUGACUCUGCCGGGGAGGGGCAGCCGAGACUGAGGACUCUGACAAGGAAGAGCCCAACUGGGCCCUGCAGCCUUGGGCAGGUCCUUCAGCUUCCGCAUUCUGAAAUGCGGACCAUCCCUCAACGGGAACAAGGGAGGAAAGUGCUUGAUAACCUGGCACACAGGACGCAGCAGGAAAUGCAGUGGGCAGUCACUGCGGAUAGCUGCUGUGCUGUCCUGAGUUAGGGACUCCUCCCAAGGGCCAAGAUACUUGUGCAACCCAGUCAGGCCUGGCUCAUCCCGGAGGGGUAAGGCAGGGCCUGGCACACGACUGAGACCCCUGCCUCCCACUCACCACACAGGAGCUGCUCAGGUAGACUUUGAGGCUUUCUGGGAUGUGAGGGAUGGGUUAUAAGAGCACUGAUGGAGCCUGGGGUCCUGCCACCUUGUACAUUAAGGGAAACUGAGGCACAGAGUGGGGAGGGGACGGGGCCAGUGUCACACAGCGAGGCAGCAGCAGGCCUCCCUCCUCCAGAGCUUUGCAGCACUUUCAUUCAUUCCUUAAGGAGGCCCACAAAACACUCUCGGCCCUGGGCCUAAGAGAGCUGCGUCCUUGCCCUCAGGGACCUCCCAGCCUGCAAAGAAGGCAGGUGAUGAUCUGCCUUUGUAGCACUCAUGGUUUAUAACCAGAAAUUAUAGGUCAGGCACGGUGGCUUAUGCCUGUAAUCCCAGCACUUUGGGAGGCUAAGGUGGGUGAUCACUUAAUUUCGGGAGUUAAAGACCAGCCUGGCCAACGUAGUGAAACCCCAUCUCUACUAAAAAUGCAAAAAUUAGAUGGGUGUGGUGGCACCCGCCUGUAGUUCCAGCUACUUGGGAGGCUGAGGCAGGAGAAUCACUUGAACCCAGGAGGUGCAGUUUGCAGUGAGCCGAGAUUGUGCCAUUACACUCCAGCCUGAGAGACAGAACGAGACUCCAUCUCAAAAAUAAAAGAAAUUAUUAGGCCUGGCACAUACCAGGUGCUCCAAAGAGAAAACAUUAAAUGAAUGAAAGGUGAUUUGUCUAAAUUUACCCAGUAUGGGCCAAGCACUGAGCUUGGGUUUGGGUAUGUGAUAAAGAAAACAAAUCUGUUUCCUGCCCUCAAAUAGCUCACAGUCUAGGAUGGACAUUAGGACAUUAGCCAGAUCAUUUCUGGUUUCAAACCGUGAUGAGGGCUGUGAAGGCAGAAUAUGGGGAGACCUGGGCCAUUGCGACUGGGAGGCCUGAUUUAGGCAGGAUUCAGUGACAUUUAAGCUGAGACCGGAAGGUUGAAGAGUUAGGGGCAGGGUGUGCGGGUGAAACAGCAUUCCAGACCAGGGAGAAGGUAUGUGCAAAGGCCCUGAGGCCUGGAGGAGCUCAGAGUGUGGGAGGAACCAACACCAAGGCAGACCUGGGGGUCCUGGAACAGGAGAUAGAAGCCAGACCGCUUGACCCCUGGUAAGAAGCUCAGUCUUAGCAUUGGGAAGGCACUGAAAAGAGGCAGCAUUAAUUCUAUUCAUUUAUUCAGAAGGUAUUUAUUGGGCACUGCUUUGUACCCAGUGUCAGUUCAGACAUUGGGAAUAGAGCACCAAGGUAGCGUCUCAUCACAGCAAGCAGAGCUGGGGCUGGGCAGGCACAGCAGAUGCUCAAAAAAUAUUUGUUGAAUGAUUGAAUGACUGUGGCCAGGGGGCCACAGCAAAUAUGGGUUGAAUGCCCAGCUCUCCAGGGCCAAGGCCACAAAGCCCUGCUCAGUCUGCAGCCAAAUGACCACAGAUGGCGCCAUACCUGACACCAGGCCCCCCCUAGUCCCUGCCAGGCCAUUCACCCAUCCCUGCAAUCUUGCUGGGCUCCUCCUGCACAUUCAUAGAGGUCAGGAGGGGCAUGGUUAGGGAGGGCUCUAAGAAGCCCACAGUGGAGAGGACCAGUUCAGACCCUGCCUCAUGAACUCAGUUUGCCCAACAUGGUACAGCACACAUGUGAGCACACACAUGUGUACGUGCACACACAGAGUGGCCCUAGGACACAUGAGGGCAGGGUGGUGUCCCAGCCAGAGCCCCUGGCCUUCCGUCAGUUGUGCACAGACACAAGUAAAUGCAGGCUGCAGGGGUCCCUGUAGGUUCUCCACCAUGAGCACCAUAUUCAUUCAGCCAGCUGGUCAUUUCACAUGGGGAAGUGGGGAUGGACCAGGCUGUGCCCACAGGGAGCUUCUUACGACCUAGGAGCCAGGCAGAGGCCCUGCAAGACAGUGUCUGUGCAAGAGCUGUCCCCGGCAUUGUGGGGAACAAGAUGCAAGGAGGGCUGUGAGUUCCAGGAACAGAGAGCCCAAGGCAGCCUUGGUUGGAGAGGGCUUCAGCGAGCCAGGGAAGCAAGACUAAGAGGAAGGGAGAGCUGGAGAGGGGGAAAUGGCACUCAUGACCAGGAGCACAGCCUACGCAAAGGCUAAGCAGCAAGAGAGACAGACACCCCAGAUCACAAGACCAGUUCCUCCCAUGGGGCUUGGAAUAGCCUGGGCUCUGCAGUGGAACGUGCUUUGGAUCAGAUCCUGAGCACGCUCCUUAUCUACGCAGGCCACUCCACCCCUCCGAGCCUUAGCUUCCUUCUCUUUCGCAGGGGUCCGGUACCUGCCAUUUUGUGGGGGUUAUAGAAUUACAAUGGGUCAAUGUGAAAGCUCCCAGCAGGGCGUCUGCAGGAGAGAUAGAGCUCCAUAGACCUUUGUUGCUAAACAGAUGUCACCAGGAGUGCCAUGCAGAAAGGCAGGAACAGUGAGCCUGACAGGCUGGGGUGAUGGCAAGGGCAGGAGGGCUGAGAAGGGUCCUGCGUAGCCUGGGAGCCAUGGGCAGGAUCUAGCAGGGAGAAUCACCGCUUUCCCUAGAGAUGUUCGUCUGGUACCUCUCUUUCCCUCAAAGACUUUGUGUACUUACCAUGAGGAUAGCAGCUCUGUGAUCCAGCAUGGCGGCCUUGGUUUGGCAGCCAAUCUGUGGUGGGCAAACACUCCGGAGACUGAAGUGCACACAUUUGCCAUGUGCUCUAUGGCAGGCUCAGGUGUGGGAAGGAGGUGCAGGGUGUUGGUGCAGGUAUGGAUGGGGGAGUGUACAGUUCCAGGGGACAGAGUCAGGACAGGCUCUUGGGUCAGACAGCCCUGCUCUGAUCUGUGCAUGGCAGCUUUCUGGGCUGACAUUUCCAUGCCAUGGGAUGAUACCUCGCAGGGUGCCUGGACCAAAGGCUAAACUCCACAGUGGAUGUGAGAUGCUGGUGUGAGGCAGGAUGCUGGAUGAAUCUAGCUGCUGGUCCUGUGGCUGCUGGUCCUGGGAAAGGAAGGCUAGUGGUGGAGUCUGGUCCUCCAUCCAGCCCUCCGUGGGGACACAGAAAGGGCGGGGCCACCUAGGGCCUCACCAGGGAAGCAGGACUUGAGCUGGAUUGCGAAGGACUCAGAGAAAAAGGGGAAGGUGUUCAGGACAGGGAAGGAUGCGCCACAUCCUGGAGGUUGGAGUGUGGGAGCUAUCGAAUGAAACACCAGCUCUCCCAGGCCAACUUCCAGAAACUUAUGCCGUGCAUCUAAUAAACACAGGCCAGGCAUGGUGGUUCACGCCUAUAAUCCCAGCACAUUGGGAGGCCGAGGCGGGUGGAUCAUUUGAAGUCAGGAGUUUGAGAUCAACCUGGCCAACAUGGUGAAAUCCCAUCUCUACUAAAAAAUUCAAAAAUUAGCCGGGUGCGGUGGCUCACACCUGUAAUCCCAGCACUCUGGGAGGCUGAGGCGGGCAGAUCACGAGGUCAGGAUAUCGAGACUAUCCUGGCUAACACAGUGAAACCCCAUCUCUACUAAAAAAUACAAAAAAUCAGCCGGGCGUGGUGGCAGGCGCCUGUAGUCCCAGCUACUCUGGAGGCUGAGGCAUGAGAAUGGCAUGAACCCGGGAGGCGGAGCUUACAGUGAGCUGAGAUCGCACCACUGCGCUCCAGCCUGGGCUACAGAGUGAGACUUCAUCUCAAAAAAAAAAAAAAAAAUUCAAAAAUUAGCUGGGCGUGGUGGCAUGUGCCUGUAAUCCCAGCUACUCAGGAGGCCGAGAUUAGAGAAUCACUUGAAUAUGGGAGGCGGAGGUUGUAGUAAGCUGAGAUCACACCAUUGCACUCCAGCCUGGGUGACCAAGCGAGACUCCAUCUC
rnacentral:sRNA from 1 species